UCCUUGGUGGCUCAGUAGUAAAGAAUCUGCCUGCAAUGCAGGAGACCCAGGUUCGAUUCCUGAGUGAGGAA
rnacentral:tRNA from 1 species